UUAAGUUUGAGUUGUUAUAGCACUGCAUGACUAGAAUAUAAUGGUUAUGAUUUGUUCAUUGUCUAGUUCAUUUUGAUAGGGUCAUCUAUGGCUAACUAUUUGCUCUAUUUUGAACAUAAGUUCCAGAGUGGGAUUCCGUAAUUCAGUUGCAUUCAUGGUAGUUUAUUUGUUUUUUCAACGGUUGAUUAGAAUGAGAGAGGAAUUUCGGAGUUUGUCACUACUUUGGACAAUGCCAAACAAAAGGUAGAUGCCCUUCAUGUGAACGUGGAUUUCAAAAAUGUUUUGAGGUCGAACGGGAUAGUGGAAACAAAGGGUGCUUGUUCUUCACGUGUAGUAACAACUGUGGGUAUUUCGACUGGGUGAAAAAUGAAGAUUUAAUUGGGGAAUCGAGUAUCGUUAAUGAAUCGGUGAAUCAUAAGCCCAAC
rnacentral:lncRNA from 1 species